rnacentral:rRNA from 1 species
GACGAACGCUGGCGGCAGGCCUAACACAUGCAAGUCGAGCGAGGACUUCGGUCCUAGCGGCGGACGGGUGAGUAACGCGUGGGAACGUGCCCUUUGCUUCUGCAUAGCUCUGGGAAACUGGGAGUAAUACCGGAUGAGCCCUUUGGGGGAAUGAUUUAUCGUCCAAGGAUCGGCCCGCGUUGGAUUAGGUCGUUGGUGGGGUAAUGGCCUACCAAGCCGACGAUCCAUAGCUGGGUUGAGAGGAUGAUCAGCCACACUGGGACUGAGACACGGCCCAGACUCCUACGGGAGGCAGCAGUGGGGAAUCUUAGACAAUGGGGGAAGCCCUGAUGUAGCCAUGCCGGGUGAGCGAUGAAGGCCGUAGGGAUGUAAAGCUCUUUCAGCUGGGAAGAUAAUGACGGUACCAGCAGAAGAAGCCCCGGCUAACUACGUG